AGGAUGAACGCUAGCGACAGGCCUAACACAUGCAAGUCGAGGGGCAGCACGGUGUAGCAAUACACGGGUGGCGACCGGCGCACGGGUGAGUAACGCGUAUGACAACCUGCCUACUACAAGGGGAUAACCCGUUGAAAGACGGACUAAUACCCUAUAACACAGGGAAUCCGCAUGGAUAUAUUUGUUAAAGAUUUAUCGGUAGUAGAUGGGCAUGCGUUCCAUUAGCUUGUUGGUGAGGUAACGGCUCACCAAGGCAACGAUGGAUAGGGGAACUGAGAGGUUGAUCCCCCACACUGGAACUGAGACACGGUCCAGACUCCUACGGGAGGCAGCAGUGAGGAAUAUUGGUCAAUGGACGAGAGUCUGAACCAGCCAAGUCGCGUGAAGGAAGACGGCCCUACGGGUUGUAAACUUCUUUUGUAAGGGAAUAAAUAGUCUUACGCGCUAAGACGUUGCAGGUACCUUACGAAUAAGGAUCGGCUAACUCCGUG
rnacentral:rRNA from 1 species